rnacentral:rRNA from 1 species
GAGCGGUAACAGGGGGUGCUUGCACCCUGCUGACGAGCGGCGGACGGGUGAGUAAUGCAUAGGAAUCUACCCGGUAGUGGGGGAUAACCUGGGGAAACCCAGGCUAAUACCGCAUACGUCCUACGGGAGAAAGGGGGCUUCGGCUCCCGCUAUUGGAUGAGCCUAUGUCGGAUUAGCUGGUUGGUGAGGUAACGGCUCACCAAGGCGACGAUCCGUAGCUGGUCUGAGAGGAUGAUCAGCCACAUCGGGACUGAGACACGGCCCGAACUCCUACGGGAGGCAGCAGUGGGGAAUAUUGGACAAUGGGGGCAACCCUGAUCCAGCCAUGCCGCGUGUGUGAAGAAGGCCCUCGGGUUGUAAAGCACUUUCAGCGAGGAAGAACGCCUGUCGGUUAAUACCCGGCAGGAGAGACAUCACUCGCAGAAGAAGCACCGGCUAACUCCGUGCCAGCAGCCGCGGUAAUACGGAGGGUGCAAGCGUUAAUCGGAAUUACUGGGCGUAAAGCGCGCGUAGGUGGCUUGAUAAGCCGGUUGUGAAAGCCCCGGGCUCAACCUGGGAACGGCAUCCGGAACUAUGAGGCUAGAGUGCAGGAGAGGAAGGUAGAAUUCCCGGUGUAGCGGUGAAAUGCGUAGAGAUCGGGAGGAAUACCAGUGGCGAAGGCGGCCUUCUGGACUGACACUGACACUGAGGUGCGAAAGCGUGGGUAGCAAACAGGAUUAGAUACCCUGGUAGUCCACGCCGUAAACGAUGUCGACCAGCCGUUGGGUGCCUAGCGCACUUUGUGGCGAAGUUAACGCGAUAAGUCGACCGCCUGGGGAGUACGGCCGCAAGGUUAAAACUCAAAUGAAUGACGGGGGCCCGCACAAGCGGUGGAGCAUGUGGUUUAAUUCGAUGCAACGCGAAGAANCUUACCUACCCUUGACAUCU